rnacentral:rRNA from 1 species
GAACGCAUUCUUCGGAAUGAGUGGCGCACGGCUGAGGAACACGUGACUAACCUACCCUGGUGUGGGGGAUAACGGGUCGAAAGACUCGCUAAUCCCGCAUACGAUUCACUUCGGUGAAGGAAAGCCGCAAGGCGCACUAGGCGGGGGUCGCGUCCCAUUAGAUUGUUGGUGUGGUAAUGGCGCACCAAGUCGAUGAUGGGUCUCUGGUCUGAGAGGACGACCAGACAGAUUGGGACUGAGACACGGCCCAAACUCCUACGGGGGGCAGCAGCAAGGAAUUUUCGGCAAUGGGCGCAAGCCUGACCGAGCAACGCCGCGUGGAGGAUGACGGCUCUUGGGUUGUAAACUCCUUUUGGGGGGGACGAUAAUGACGGUACCCUCCGAAUCAGGCCCGGCUAACUACGUGCCAGCAGCCGCGGUAAUACGUAGGGGCCAAGCGUUGUCCGGAAUUACUGGGCGUAAAGCGUGGGUAGGUGGUCGGUGAUGCGCCGCGUGAAAGCGCCGGAGUAAUGCCGGCGAGGUCGCGGUAGACACAACGACUCGAGGCUCGCAGAGGAACGUGGAAUUCCCGGUGUAGUGGUGAAAUGCGUAGAUAUCGGGAGGAACACCAGUGGCGCAAGCGGCGUUCUGGGCGAGACCUGACACUGAGCCACGACGGCGUGGGGAGCAAACAGGAUUAGAUACCCUGGUAGUCCACGCA